GUGCUUGGCUUGUGAACUCCUAGCUUCCUGGCUGUGCCGUGAACUUGGCCACUCUUUAAGAGCUAUUGAAGUCAAUGGCAAAAUAUCCAUCACCACUGGUAAGGGCUCUGUAAAGGCUUAGAUACUACUGCACCACCUCUCUGUCGAUUGGAGUCUGGAACCUGGGAGUUUGCAGGGGGCAUUUUACCUCCUGAGGAUCAUGGUGGACUUUUGCAUAGAGAGUAUUGGCUCAAUUCUAGGCCCAUGAGGCUCCUAAGAGCUCAGUGCUAUUCUUGCUCAUUUAAAAGGCAAAGGAAUUUUAAUAGUCCAAGGGAUGGAAUUCCUCCAAGCCACUCAGGCCCUUGCUCUCUGCCACGGCUAAGAUUGAUUUGGACACCUUAGACUGAACCUUAGAACUAGCCAUAAGAAAGGGAUUCUGUCCUGAAUGGAAGCCAAGCUGGGUAACUCAGAACCUGAGCUAAGACUUCCCUGGGUCAUCAGGACUAUCCAGCUGCCCGUAGCUAUGGAUACCUGGUGAGGAGGAGCUGGAAUGCUGGAACGCAGGCUCAUUGCUGAGCUUCAGACUCUAUUGGGAUGACCUAGAGCAGAACUGACUCGCCACAGUGCUCAUCGGGUUCUACGGUGGCCCACAGGUGGACUAGGAUCACGUGCCCAUUCUGCUGUGAAGGUCUCAUGAACUUCCCUGAAUCCUUAAAGGCAUCCAUGGCUCUAGAAACCCUGAUGUAAAAAGAAUUCAGAAGAAGAAAUACACCUGUGGAAAUAAAGAAGAGUUCUGGGAUAUGACAGUGCCCACCAGAGUACUCUCACCCUGCAAGGUAAAACCCGUGAGCAAAGCCCAGCAGUCUGGAAAUCACAAGAAGGAUCUCAGCUGAAAAGAAAGCAAUGAAUGAGAAAACAGAAAUAUUCUAGGGCUUCCAUACAAUGAAGUUUGCAUUUAUCUUCCCAUACCAACUUGAGGCCACAGGAGAAGGGGUGGGUGUGGAAAUGGAGGCCCCAGCGUAGGAGAGAAUGAGAGAAGAUAUUUAUUUCAGGAUGUUGGGAGAUUUUAGUUUUCAACUUCUUUUCACGGACAAACACGUACCCCCAGAGGUCGGAAGUGACAGCAGAUACUGUAAUGUACCAGGCACAGAAGGCCUUGGGGAGACUCCAGACCCCUCUCACUGUCUUCUGACAGCUGUCAUUCAAAGCGAUCACAAAGGCCUAUUGCCACAUGCACCUGGCAGUCUUCCUCACCUUCCUUCCAGAGGGCAGAGGCCAAGCAUCAAAGCCCUCUUUCAGAACCAUCCACAAAGCCACGCUAACCUCACCUUUUGGGGGCAGAUCCAAUCACAUUUGGGGAAAAAAAGAGAUUAUGUGAAAGAUAAAUGACUUAAAAAUUGGCUUAUUGAACAUUUUGAUAUAUCAUAUUCAUUAUUCCUUUUACUGAUUAUGAAAGAAAACACAAGAAAAGCAGAAAAUAAAGCCAUGAAUGAAGAUAGUGCCUGAGAAGCACUGGUCGCCAGGACUGUUUGCCUUCAAGCUCUUUAUUGUGAUGCACCCGCACACACACACACACACACACACACACACACACACGAGCACGUUUGCAAAUGUGUAAUUAAAAUAUUUGCAACAGAAUCGGGAUCAGAGUCACUUCCUAAUAUAUCAUCAAUAUUUUCCCAGGUCAUUGAACGCUCUUUGAAAGCAUGUCUUUAUUGGCCACAUAAAAUUUAACUGUGUGAUUAUAAAAUAAUUUAUUUUUAUUAUUUUGUUUAUUUGGGGACAUUAAUUUCCUUUCCAAUCUUCGGUAAUAGAACUGCUACUUUGACCUAUAUCCUUGUAUAUGAUUGCCGAAUAUCUGAUGGUUUCCUUAAGAUAAUUAUCAAAAACUGGGGUUACUAGUGAGAAAACAUACAUAUUCUGGGGCUUUGAUACAACAAAGUGUACAUUUAUCUUGCCAGUGUCAUGUUUUUAAAAUUCUACGUCAAUUUGCAAGACAGUAUUUUUUUUUUAACAGCACUUUAAACACCUGCUCUGGAUUUUCUUCCUUGAGGAGCCUGUGUUCUGUCUGCACACUCACCCCCACCUUCAAACUCAGUAGCAUCCCCUGAAAGCUUCCAAGGAGCAAAGGAGGGGUGAGGAACAAGACAAAGGAGGCAACUCUGUAAAGAUAAGCAUGUGUGUUUUCACCUAGUCACACAGGGGUACGUUAAAUAAAGGCAUAAAUAAGAACACAAGGCCAAAUAGUUUACUUCCAAACAGACCAUGCAAAG
rnacentral:lncRNA from 1 species